CCUACGGGGGGCUGCAGUCGAGAAUCAUUCACAAUGGGGGAAACCCUGAUGGUGCGACGCCGCGUGGGGGAAUGAAGGUCUUCGGAUUGUAAACCCCUGUCAUGUGGGAGCAAAUUAAAAAGAUAGUACCACAAGAGGAAGAGACGGCUAACUCUGUGCCAGCAGCCGCGGUAAUACAGAGGUCUCAAGCGUUGUUCGGAAUCACUGGGCGUAAAGCGUGCGUAGGCUGUUUCGUAAGUCGUGUGUGAAAGGCGCGGGCUCAACCCGCGGACGGCAAACGAUACUGCGAGACUAGAGUAAGGGAGGGGGAACCGGAAUUCUCGGUGUAGCAGUGAAAUGCGUAGAUAUCGAGAGGAACACUCGUGGCGAAGGCGGGUUCCUGGACAUUAACUGACGCUGAGGCACGAAGGCCAGGGGAGCGAAAGGGAUUAGAUACCCUUGUAGUC
rnacentral:rRNA from 1 species